rnacentral:rRNA from 1 species
AUUGAACGCUGGCGGCAGGCUUAACACAUGCAAGUCGAGCGGAGAUGAGGUGCUUGCACCUUAUCUUAGCGGCGGACGGGUGAGUAAUGCUUAGGAAUCUGCCUAUUAGUGGGGGACAACAUUCCGAAAGGAAUGCUAAUACCGCAUACGCCCUACGGGGGAAAGCAGGGGAUCUUCGGACCUUGCGCUAAUAGAUGAGCCUAAGUCGGAUUAGCUAGUUGGUGGGGUAAAGGCCUACCAAGGCGACGAUCUGUAGCGGGUCUGAGAGGAUGAUCCGCCACGCUGGGACUGGGACACGGCCAAGACUCCUACGGGAGGCAGCAGUGGGGAAUAUUGGACAAUGGGCGGAAGCCUGAUCCAGCCAUGCCGCGUGUGUGAAGAAGGCCUUUUGGUUGUAAAGCACUUUAAGCGAGGAGGAGGCUACCUGGAUUAAUACUCUAGGAUAGUGGACGUUACUCGCAGAAUAAGCACCGGCUAACUCUGUGCCAGCCGCCGCCGUAAAAC